AUACGUAGGUGGCGAGCGUUGUCCGGAAUUACUGGGUGUAAAGGGUGCGCAGGCGGGCCCGCAAGUUGGAUGUGAAAUCCCACGGCUUAACUGUGGGGGGUCAUUCAAAACUGCGGGUCUUGAGUGAGGUAGAGGCAGGCGGAAUUCCCGGUGUAGCGGUGAAAUGCAUAGAGAUCGGGAGGAACACCAGUGGCGAAGGCGGCCUGCUGGGCCUUUACUGACGCUGAGGCACGAAAGCAUGGGUAGCAAACAGGAUUAGAUACCCUGGUAGUCCAUGCUGUAAACGAUGAUUGCUAGGUGUGGGGGGACUGACCCCUUCCGUGCCGGAGUCAACACAAUAAGCAAUCCACCUGGGGAGUACGGCCGCAAGGUUGAA
rnacentral:rRNA from 1 species